rnacentral:rRNA from 1 species
CUUGCUACAGGCUUAACACAUGCAAGUCGAGGGGCAGCAUGGUCUUAGCUUGCUAAGGCCGAUGGCGACCGGCGCACGGGUGAGUAACACGUAUCCAACCUGCCGUCUACUCUUGGACAGCCUUCUGAAAGGAAGAUUAAUACAAGAUGGCAUCAUGAGUCCACAUGUUCACAUGAUUAAAGGUAUUCCGGUAGACGAUGGGGAUGCGUUCCAUUAGAUAGUAGGCGGGGUAACGGCCCACCUAGUCUUCGAUGGAUAGGGGUUCUGAGAGGAAGGUCCCCCACAUUGGAACUGAGACACGGUCCAAACUCCUACGGGAGGCAGCAGUGAGGAAUAUUGGUCAAUGGGCGCAGGCCUGAACCAGCCAAGUAGCGUGAAGGAUGACUGCCCUAUGGGUUGUAAACUUCUUUUAUAAAGGAAUAAAGUCGGGUAUGCAUACCCGUUUGCAUGUACUUUAUGAAUAAGGAUCGGCUAACUCCGUGCCAGCAGCCGCGGUAAUACGGAGGAUCCGAGCGUUAUCCGGAUUUAUUGGGUUUAAAGGGAGCGUAGAUGGAUGUUUAAGUCAGUUGUGAAAGUUUGCGGCUCAACCGUAAAAUUGCAGUUGAUACUGGAUAUCUUGAGUGCAGUUGAGGCAGGCGGAAUUCGUGGUGUAGCGGUGAAAUGCUUAGAUAUCACGAAGAACUCCGAUUGCGAAGGCAGCCUGCUAAGCUGCAACUGACAUUGAGGCUCGAAAGUGUGGGUAUCAAACAGGAUUAGAUACCCUGGUAGUCCACACGGUAAACGAUGGAUACUCGCUGUUUGCGAUAUACAGCAAGCGGCCAAGCGAAAGCGUUAAGUAUUCCACCUGGGGAGUACGCCGGCAACGGUGAAACUCAAAGGAAUUGACGGGGGCCCGCACAAGCGGAGGAACAUGUGGUUUAAUUCGAUGAUACGCGAGGAACCUUACCCGGGCUUAAAUUGCAGAUGAAUUACGGUGAAAGCCGUAAGCCGCAAGGCAUCUGUGAAGGUGCUGCAUGGUUGUCGUCAGCUCGUGCCGUGAGGUGUCGGCUUAAGUGCCAUAACGAGCGCAACCCUUGUUGUCAGUUACUAACAGGUUCCGCUGAGGACUCUGACAAGACUGCCAUCGUAAGAUGUGAGGAAGGUGGGGAUGACGUCAAAUCAGCACGGCCCUUACGUCCGGGGCUACACACGUGUUACAAUGGGGGGUACAGAGGGCCGCUACCACGCGAGUGGAUGCCAAUCCCAAAAACCUCUCUCAGUUCGGACUGGAGUCUGCAACUCGACUCCACGAAGCUGGAUUCGCUAGUAAUCGCGCAUCAGCCACGGCGCGGUGAAUACGUUCCCGGGCCUUGUACACACCGCCCGUCAAGCCAUGGGAGCCGGGGGGUACCUGAAGUGCGUAACCGCGAGGAGCGCCCUAGGGUAAAACUGGUGACUGGGGC